UCCUGAGUGAGGUAUACCAGAAAGACAAAUACGAGCACAGUGCAGAAGACGAUGUGGAAGGAGUGUAAAAGCCCAAGGCGGUGGAGGACACCAAGGAAUCCAGGCCCUCUAAACCAACAGGAUCAAAGCUCUCAGGAGCGCUCAGAGACUGGAGCAUCGUGCACAGGGCUUGCGCUGAGCCCAGCUCCACACUUAUGCAGAGAGUUGCAUCAGAAGCCACCUGAGGCUUCUGACUCCUCGAGGAAGAGAACUAUGGAAGACUCUCCCAGCUCCAGCCUCCAGGACUCCCCGGAAGCAGCAGGCAGGGGGACUCCUUCCCACUGCACUGCCAAGCCCCUCCAGGUUCCCCCCUCCCUCCUGCAUCUAUAAGGGUGUUCCCCCAGCCACCCACCCACUCCUGCCUUCCUGCCCUGGCAUUCCCAUACACUGGAGCAUCGAACCCCAACAGGACCAAGGGCAGCUCCUCCCGCUGAUGUCCAACAAGGCCAUCCUCUGCCACAUGUGUGGCUGGCCGGAGCCAAGAGUCCCUCCAUGUGUACUCUUUGGUUGGUGGCUUAGUCCCUGGGAGCUUGGGGGAGCGGGAGGGAGAGGAGGUCUGGCCGGUUGACACUUCUCUUAACUGUCUAAAGUUUGCACUUCGAUUGUCUUCAUGAAAAAAACUUAGCGGCUUUUUUUUUCUCGCCAAGGACUUAGGGAAGCUCAUUGUACUGCGCCACUUAGAGGAGGCAUUCAAAAGCAGGGAGAACGCUACAUACAACACUACGCUCCAAACCAGAGUUUCUCAACCUAUGGGUCGAUCGACCCUUUCACGGAGAUUGCAUAUCAAAUAGUCUGCAUAUCGGGCAUUUGCAUUACAAUUCAUAACAGUAGCCAGCGCAGUUAUGAAGUGGCGAUGAAAAUAAUUUUAUGGCUGGGGGUGAGCACAACAUGAGGAACUGAAUUAAAGGGUCGCAGCGUUAAGAAAGUUGAGAACCACUCAUCUAAAGGGUGUUAUUAUUACCCCAUCAUUGCUUUGGUUAAAACACAGGGAUUUGGGUGUUGCUCUUUUUUCUUCCGUUGUACAGCAAUUUCCUCCGAACCAAAAUCUUUCCUCCUGGAGGAAGCUCAUUACAACUCAAGAAGUUGUACAAGAUUCAGGAAGUAAACAACCUCAAAGUCUCAAGAGCUUGCUGAAACUUACCAAGAUACCCAAGGUCUUUCCUCCGCCAAGGUUUUAUGAACAGUGCGGACUCUUGAGGUGAGGGUGCGCCCCACCUUGUAGAGUUGCCUGCGUGCUGUGCAGAGAGCUCCAGGGUCUCAGCUUUCGCACACUGUCAGCCAUGCCAGAUUGCGCCUAUGCUGGUGCAGCUGCCUCCGAGCCACCCAUGUUCCUAUGAGCAACCUCUCACCCCUGCUCCGUAAGUCCCGUUCAGUUAUUUGUUCCCUGACCUGGUCUUUGGUGGUAUUGUGACUUGGCUAUGCUGUUAGCUCCCUAUCUAGAGAUGGUCUUUGUGUCAGACAACACUUUGGUCUGAUUCUCCUUUCCAAUCACCUCGUUAAGUAGUCAGUAGACCUAGAGUUAACUUCCCUGCCGAGUCACUCAAUCAAGGGCUCACCAAGGAGCCAUAUACACUCACCACUGUCCUUAUACAAUUGUUAUCAAACGCCUUUAGAGAUAGAAAGGAUUGAAGAGAGGAACAAAGGGGAGAGGAAGA